rnacentral:misc_RNA from 1 species
UCUUCGUAGGUGAACCUGCGGAGGGAUCAUUAAUGAAUCAAGGGUUGACUGGUGCUACACUCUUCGUGAAGCCAGGUCUUCCUUCAUUACCACACACACCCGUGAACCUUUACUUGGGCUUCGGCCCUUGUAAGCACUUGUGAUUUGAACCAGUUCAGAAUGUUAAAAACAAAAUUGAAAACAACUAUAAACGGUGGAUCUCUUGGCUCUCGCAUCGAUGAAGAACGCAGC